rnacentral:rRNA from 1 species
UUAAGCGACUAAGCGUACACGGUGGAUGCCCUGGCAGUCAGAGGCGAUGAAGGACGUGCUAAUCUGCGAUAAGCGUCGGUGAGGUGAUAUGAACCGUUAUAACCGGCGAUUUCCGAAUGGGGAAACCCAGUGUGUUUCGACACACUAUCAUUAACUGAAUCCAUAGGUUAAUGAGGCGAACCGGGGGAACUGAAACAUCUAAGUACCCCGAGGAAAAGAAAUCAACCGAGAUUCCCCCAGUAGCGGCGAGCGAACGGGGAGGAGCCCAGAGCCUGAAUCAGUGUGUGUGUUAGUGGAAGCGUCUGGAAAGGCGCGCGAUACAGGGUGACAGCCCCGUACACAAAAAUGCACAUGCUGUGAGCUCGAUGAGUAGGGCGGGACACGUGGUAUCCUGUCUGAAUAUGGGGGGACCAUCCUCCAAGGCUAAAUACUCCUGACUGACCGAUAGUGAACCAGUACCGUGAGGGAAAGGCGAAAAGAACCCCGGCGAGGGGAGUGAAAAAGAACCUGAAACCGUGUACGUACAAGCAGUGGGAGCCUCUUAAUGGGGUGACUGCGUACCUUUUGUAUAAUGGGUCAGCGACUUAUAUUCUGUAGCAAGGUUAACCGAAUAGGGGAGCCGAAGGGAAACCGAGUCUUAACUGGGCGUUAAGUUGCAGGGUAUAGACCCGAAACCCGGUGAUCUAGCCAUGGGCAGGUUGAAGGUUGGGUAACACUAACUGGAGGACCGAACCGACUAAUGUUGAAAAAUUAGCGGAUGACUUGUGGCUGGGGGUGAAAGGCCAAUCAAACCGGGAGAUAGCUGGUUCUCCCCGAAAGCUAUUUAGGUAGCGCCUCGUGAAUUCAUCUCCGGGGGUAGAGCACUGUUUCGGCAAGGGGGUCAUCCCGACUUACCAACCCGAUGCAAACUGCGAAUACCGGAGAAUGUUAUCACGGGAGACACACGGCGGGUGCUAACGUCCGUCGUGAAGAGGGAAACAACCCAGACCGCCAGCUAAGGUCCCAAAGUCAUGGUUAAGUGGGAAACGAUGUGGGAAGGCCCAGACAGCCAGGAUGUUGGCUUAGAAGCAGCCAUCAUUUAAAGAAAGCGUAAUAGCUCACUGGUCGAGUCGGCCUGCGCGGAAGAUGUAACGGGGCUAAACCAUGCACCGAAGCUGCGGCAGCGACGCUUAUGCGUUGUUGGGUAGGGGAGCGUUCUGUAAGCCUGUGAAGGUGUGCUGUGAGGCAUGCUGGAGGUAUCAGAAGUGCGAAUGCUGACAUAAGUAACGAUAAAGCGGGUGAAAAGCCCGCUCGCCGGAAGACCAAGGGUUCCUGUCCAACGUUAAUCGGGGCAGGGUGAGUCGACCCCUAAGGCGAGGCCGAAAGGCGUAGUCGAUGGGAAACAGGUUAAUAUUCCUGUACUUGGUGUUACUGCGAAGGGGGGACGGAGAAGGCUAUGUUGGCCGGGCGACGGUUGUCCCGGUUUAAGCGUGUAGGCUGGUUUUCCAGGCAAAUCCGGAAAACCAAGGCUGAGGCGUGAUGACGAGGCACUACGGUGCUGAAGCGACAAAUGCCCUGCUUCCAGGAAAAGCCUCUAAGCAUCAGGUAACAUCAAAUCGUACCCCAAACCGACACAGGUGGUCAGGUAGAGAAUACCAAGGCGCUUGAGAGAACUCGGGUGAAGGAACUAGGCAAAAUGGUGCCGUAACUUCGGGAGAAGGCACGCUGAUAUGUAGGUGAAGCGACUUGCUCGUGGAGCUGAAAUCAGUCGAAGAUACCAGCUGGCUGCAACUGUUUAUUAAAAACACAGCACUGUGCAAACACGAAAGUGGACGUAUACGGUGUGACGCCUGCCCGGUGCCGGAAGGUUAAUUGAUGGGGUUAGCGGUAACGCGAAGCUCUUGAUCGAAGCCCCGGUAAACGGCGGCCGUAACUAUAACGGUCCUAAGGUAGCGAAAUUCCUUGUCGGGUAAGUUCCGACCUGCACGAAUGGCGUAAUGAUGGCCAGGCUGUCUCCACCCGAGACUCAGUGAAAUUGAACUCGCUGUGAAGAUGCAGUGUACCCGCGGCAAGACGGAAAGACCCCGUGAACCUUUACUAUAGCUUGACACUGAACAUUGAGCCUUGAUGUGUAGGAUAGGUGGGAGGCUUUGAAGUGUGGACGCCAGUCUGCAUGGAGCCGACCUUGAAAUACCACCCUUUAAUGUUUGAUGUUCUAACGUUGGCCCGUAAUCCGGGUUGCGGACAGUGUCUGGUGGGUAGUUUGACUGGGGCGGUCUCCUCCUAAAGAGUAACGGAGGAGCACGAAGGUUGGCUAAUCCUGGUCGGACAUCAGGAGGUUAGUGCAAUGGCAUAAGCCAGCUUGACUGCGAGCGUGACGGCGCGAGCAGGUGCGAAAGCAGGUCAUAGUGAUCCGGUGGUUCUGAAUGGAAGGGCCAUCGCUCAACGGAUAAAAGGUACUCCGGGGAUAACAGGCUGAUACCGCCCAAGAGUUCAUAUCGACGGCGGUGUUUGGCACCUCGAUGUCGGCUCAUCACAUCCUGGGGCUGAAGUAGGUCCCAAGGGUAUGGCUGUUCGCCAUUUAAAGUGGUACGCGAGCUGGGUUUAGAACGUCGUGAGACAGUUCGGUCCCUAUCUGCCGUGGGCGCUGGAGAACUGAGGGGGGCUGCUCCUAGUACGAGAGGACCGGAGUGGACGCAUCACUGGUGUUCGGGUUGUCAUGCCAAUGGCACUGCCCGGUAGCUAAAUGCGGAAGAGAUAAGUGCUGAAAGCAUCUAAGCACGAAACUUGCCCCGAGAUGAGUUCUCCCUGACUCCUUGAGAGUCCUGAAGGAACGUUGAAGACGACGACGUUGAUAGGCCGGGUGUGUAAGCGCAGCGAUGCGUUGAGCUAACCGGUACUAAUGAACCGUGAGGCUUAACCUU